rnacentral:rRNA from 1 species
UACGUAGGUGGCAAGCGUUGUCCGGAUUUACUGGGCGUAAAGAGCGCGCAGGCGGUCGAAUAAGUCGAAUGUGAAAGCCCCGGGCUUAACCUGGGAAUGGCAUUUGGGACUGCAAGGCUUGAGUGCGGCAGAGGAGACUGGAAUUCCCGGUGUAGCAGUGAAAUGCGUAGAUAUCGGGAGGAAUACCGAUGGCGAAGGCAGGUCUCUGGGCUGACACUGACGCUCAUGCACGAAAGCGUGGGGAGCAAACAGG